CCAGGAGUUUAAACACUAUUACAUCAACAACAUAGGCACCAAAUUCUUUCUUUUUUUUUUUUUAAUUAUUUUGAACCUGACACACAUCAAACAUGAACAUUUCUUUAUACAAAGAAAAUAAGAAAAAAAAGAUUGUAUAUGAUACUGUGAAACUACUACAUCUAGUUAGGCCCUUCUUGGCAGUAUCCUGAAAAUGCUAACUGAGAGGUCUAUGUGACAACUGAGAAGCACAUAUCUCACUCUUGUGGACAAAGGUCACUAUAGUAAGUGACAUCAUGAAAGUGCACUGGCCUGGGAUUCUGGACACUUGGCUUCCAGCCCUACCUCUGACAGUAUCCCCUGUUUGAUUGCCUGAUGAAUUGGACAGCUACAUGAUGCGGUAGAUAGAGUUCUGGACCUGGAGUCAAGAAGACCUGCGUUCAGAUGUGAUCUCAGACA